rnacentral:rRNA from 1 species
AUGAUCCAAUAUGCUCACAAACGAAAACUGCCAGUCAUUGCUUUGAAGCUGGAUUUUCAUAAGGCCUUCGAUAGCAUGAGUUGGUGCUGCCUCCGCAAGAUCCUUGAUGCCAGGGGCUUCCCACAAGUGUGGAAAUGGAUACACGCUCUCUUGUCUUCUGGCAGCUCUAGAGUUCUACUAAAUGGGGAGUUGGGCCUGCUCAUCAAGGCAAAGAAAGGGUUUCGGCAAGGGGAUUCUCUUUCCCCUUACCUUUUCAUCCUGGUCGCUGAUGUGCUGCAGAGGAUG